rnacentral:rRNA from 1 species
GAUGAACGCUGGCGGCGUGCCUAAUACAUGCAAGUCGAGCGGUAAGGCCUCUUCGGAGGUACACGAGCGGCGGACGGCUGAGUAACACGUAGGAACGUACCCCAAACUGAGGGAUAAGCACCAGAAAUGGUGUCUAAUACCGCAUGUGCUCUAAGGAGUAAAGCUUCGGCGGUUUGGGAACGGCCUGCGCACGAUUAGAUUGUUGGUGAGGUAAUGGCUCACCAAGUCGACGAUCGUUAGCUGGUCUGAGAGGAUGAUCAGCCAGACUGGGACUGAGAACGGCCCAGACUCCUACGGGAGGCAGCAGUAGGGAAUCUUGGACAAUGGGGGAAACCCUGAUCCAGCGAUGCCGCGUGUGUGAAGAAGGCCUUCGGGUUGUAAAGCACUUUAGGUGGGGAAGAAAGGUAAUGAGUGAAUAACUGAUUGCUUUGACGGUACCCGCAGAAUAAGCACCGGCUAA